rnacentral:rRNA from 1 species
UUAAAAAGCUCGUAGUUGGGUUUCUGCCGAGGGCAGCCGGUCCAGCUUAUGGCUGUACAUCUGGUUAGUCUGAGGCAUCUUUCCGAGGAACACGUCUGCACUUGAUUGUGUGGUGUGGUAUUCGGUCCUUUUACUUUGAGGAAAUUAGAGUGUUCAAAGCAGGCUUUCGCCUUGAAUACAUUAGCAUGGAAUAAUAAGAUAGGAUUUCGGUUCUUUUUUGUUGGUUUCUAGAGCUGGAAUAAUGAUUAAUAGGGACAGUUGGGGGCAUUCGUAUUUAACUGUCAGAGGUGAAAUUCUUGGAUUUGUUAAAGACGAACAACUGCGAAAGCAUUUGCCAAGGAUGUUUUCAUUGAUCAAGAACGAAAGAUAGGGGAUCGAAGACGAUCAGAUACCGUCCUAGUCUUAACCAUAAACUAUGCCGACUAGAGAUUGGAGAACGCUUCAUAUACGGCUUCUUCAGCACCUUAUGAGA